GAGUUUGAUCUUGGCUCAGAUUGAACGCUGGCGGCAUGCCUUACACAUGCAAGUCGAACGGCAGCACGGGAGCUUGCUCCUGGUGGCGAGUGGCGAACGGGUGAGUAAUGCAUCGGAACGUAUCCUGGAGUGGGGGAUAACGUAGCGAAAGUUACGCUAAUACCGCAUAUUCUGUGAGCAGGAAAGCGGGGGACCUUCGGGCCUCGCGCUCUUGGAGCGGCCGAUGUCGGAUUAGCUAGUUGGUGAGGUAAAGGCUCACCAAGGCGACGAUCCGUAGCAGGUCUGAGAGGAUGAUCUGCCACACUGGAACUGAGACACGGUCCAGACGCCUACGGGAGGCAGCAGUGGGGAAUUUUGGACAAUGGGGGCAACCCUGAUCCAGCCAUGCCGCGUGAGUGAAGAAGGCCUCGG
rnacentral:rRNA from 1 species